AAAAUCAAAGCUUGUAGAUUUUCUCAUGUUAAUGUCUAUUUUUAUUUUAAGGUAGUUCAAGCAUAACAAAUAUUUGAAUGCCUACUCUGAAAGGCAAUAUAAAAUAUAUCAAAAGAGAUACCUUUUUACAGCUUGGAUGGGGUAAUAAGAGAAAUACAAAAUAAAGAUAAUUGAUAACUAAAGUCAUUUGUGUGUGUGUGUGUGUGUGUGUGUGUGAGUGUGUGUGUGAAAUCUCAAAUAAGUGAUAUUUACUUACAGCAGGUGGACAGCAUGGUGGAUGAAAUAACUGAAGAAAUCUUUAUGAAGGAGAGGAGUUGUAAGCUUGAACUUGAAGGGUGGAUGUAACCCAGAUGCAUUUUACAUUUGUUCUCAGAAAGAAGAGAAUUGAUGUGACAUUGACCACUGCUUUGGGGCAACAUGGAAGUCUUUGGGAAAUGUUUAUAUUGUAUUAAUUGAAGCAUAUCAAGAUUGAUUGACUCUAGUACCGUGAAUUCUGCCUACAUAACAGAAGGCAAAGGUAAAGUUAGAAGUUCCAAUUUCUGCUUCACUUCAUUCAUUCUAGUUUAAGCUAAUUAUAGUAAAUGUUAUAUUGAGGAAAAAGGUUAUUUGAAGAGUUGUCACUACGUUUGUUUCUAGGAAAACUGAAGGGUUUUUUACUCCAGUUUCUCAAGAAAUGGUAGACUGAGUUUUCUGAUGUUCUUCAAAGUGAAGUUUUCAGUGCUCUGGCUACCAAAGGUUAAUUUUUUCUCUCUAACUUAUAAUAUAUUCAUGGAUUCUUCAGACAUUACAAGACAGGUCAACACUUUGGGGUGAGGGGAGUAGAGCAUAAAAGAGGCCAUUUUGAGCUUUAAGUUAUUUUUAUAAAAAGAUCUGCUCUGUGUGUGUCUCUUGUUAGAGAGGUGAAGCUGAUGGCUCACCUAUUGGUGUGCAGGUGGGGCUGACUGUCAAGGUGUCUGGCUUCAGCUAGGAGGUGGAUUCUAUUGAACAUUGUGCUGACUUGCAGGCUACAAAGCCUCUGACAAAGGAUCAUCACAUCUGGAGCCUGAUUUUAUGUCAGUAGCUGACCUUCUUUUCACCUUCGUCCCCGUGGACUUCUUGACUUAGUAUUUCUAAAGGUAUUAUACAGUGCCAUCUUGCUGACUUAGACAAGGCAGUGACAAAUUUAAUGUUACUUCACCUCUGUGGGGGUGAAUUCAAGACCCAUCAUUGUGCCCCCAAAACCAAUAGCAUAUUUGAAUAUUAUGAACUGCAAGGCUGGUUGCAUUAACUGGAGUAGCGUGAAAAUGAUGAAAAAAGACAAGCUGUGCAAGAAAUUAUCAGUUUAUCUUGUGGAGAAGGUUACCUCAGAGGUCAUACAUUUCUUUUGUCUAGCAAUGGUUGGAAUAGUUUAAGAAACAACCUAGUUAUAGUCUAGGCUAAGGGAUGAAUAAUCUCUUAAAUUGUGCCUCAUAUUUAAGAUUCUGUUGUUUGCAGGGUAUGAACACCAGCUAGAAAACACAGGUCUAAUGCCUUUUCUUGAUCUCAAUGUUUUUAAAAGACAAUUUGCAUUUGGGCUCAUUUUUCACUGGUGCAAAAUAACAAUUUACAUUUCAAUUGUGGUUUUCCCUAGACGGACUAAAAUGUGUAGUUCAUUGAACAUGUCAGUCUAUCAGCAUUUUCUGCAGCUAAUGUUUCCAGUGUUUAAAUGCUGUGACUAUACCACUCACAUGAUACUAUUUUUAUUCUGUGUAAGAGUGCAUGAGUUAUAUCCUCCUGACAAUAUGUUUACUCCCUGAAUUUAAGAGCAGGCAAGGUCAGAAGUUAUGUUAAUUACGUGGGGAAAGGAUUACUUGGUCACACGUCAUCAAAUAAUUUUCUGAGAGCUAAAAAUUAGUCAAAUUAUUGCCUAACUAAGAUGCCUAGUGGGUUAAAGUAAAUGAUUGUUCAGUUCAGUCACAGACAAUCUGCUAGGCCUAGUUGAUGAUAUUCUAAUUAAUGUAUUAUAAUAGUCAAUCAAAAAUUACUUACUGGGCACUGAUCAGGUACAUUACACUGAUACUCAGUAGGGCGCCAAGAGGAAAUAACCCACUAAGACAUUAGCUAAAUGAAGAUGUAUCCUGAGCAACCAUAAACUGCAAACUAAUGAGGUAGAUAUUUAUCAUUAUGAAGCAUCAACCUGUAGCCACAGAAUUGAAUGACCCAAAGGCACAGAUGUGUUCUGGGUCGCCCAACCAAACAUGGAUCCAAGGAAUCAAAAGCUAAACCCACUUUAAAUUGGACCUGUCUCUGCCUGGGUGAAUAGGUAAGAUACAGAAGUCGGGCUGUGAAAUGACCACAUUGCCUAUCCUCAAAGGGAGGAACCCCAUUAAUGGCUAUAUUAGAACCAUCUUAGAACUGGGUGCUUGUACAAAGUCAGACUCCUGGGUGCCACCGGAGACUUAACACAUGCAAAUCCAACAUGUAAAUUUUAAAUAUGCUCUUUAGUUAAUUCCGAAGUAGGUGGUGUGCAGUUCACAUAUUGAUAAACAUACUUAUGGUUUCAGGUAGAUUUCUAGACCUAUCCUGUUGUUUUUUGUGUUUUUUUUUUAAUCCUCACCUGAAGAUAUGUUUUUAUUGAUUUUAGAGAGGGAGGGAGGGGGAGAGAGAGAAAGAAGCAUUGAUGUGAGAGAGAAACAUUGAUUUGCUGCCUCCUGUAUGCACUCCAACCAGGGAUCAAACCUGUAACCUAGGUAUGUGCCCUGGCUAGGAAUUGAACCUGCAAGAUUUUGGUGUACAGCAAGCAUGUCAAACUCACAGCCCACAAUAAAUAUUUUUGCAGCCCAGCCAAUAUAAUGGUAUGUAACAAACGUUUUAAUAAAAAUUUCGUAACUUAAUUUUUACAAUAUCCUGUUAUACGUAAUGAUUAAUAACUACAACGUUUGCUACUGACUGAUUACUAUAAUUGUGUUGCAUUCAUUUCCCUUAUGUGCCUUCGCACGCAAGUGCACCAUUUCUCUCCACUAAUACUAGCAGCAAAUACUAGUAUUUUAUCAGCCAAUUGCCAUGUCAUUAGUCUUGGACGGACUUGUUUGGUGUGCGCAACAGGAAAUAUUUUGCUUUCAGAGAAUAAGAAAAAUGGGUUUAUUUGCAUUACGCUUAUUAAUUUGUGCAGUUAUUCAGUGUCUGGUAAGUUAAUGUUCAAGAAAAACAUAUUAAUUUUUAUUAAAAUGUUCUAUUACUUUAUGUUAAUGAUUACUCAAUUAUAUUCAGCCUUUUGUAUUCAGCAUGUCUCUGUCAAAAUAAACCUACGUUUCUGUGAAAAUUGAAGCUUUUGUUUUUUUGCGGACCACAUACUAGUAAACUUAAACCUUGUUUAUUUGGCCCGUGUUAGCCUUUGAGUUGGACAUGCUUGAUGUACAGGGUGACACUCCGACUAACUGAGCCACCUGGCCAGGGCUUUCCUGUUUGUUUUUGUAAAGUAUAACAUAAAUGCAGCUUUAAUGUUAUAUAUAGGCUAAUAUAGAGGUAUAAGACUUCCAAACUAUGACAUCAUUUUCAGGUAUUAUUUCUAUUAAUAUUUGUCUUAUUUCAUUAAACCAGAAGUUGCAAACUGUAUCCUGCUGGCCAAUGGGGUCCAUGGGUGGUUUUUCAAUUUUACCCAAAUAGUAUGUUUAAAUUGUCAACAUUAAACAUUAGAAGAUGAUGCAUCAAAAAUUAAAAUUCUAAUUUCUCUUUAAAAAUCAGAGUAUGGGGCCCUGAUUCCCACCUGGCCUCCGUCAGCCAAAAUGGGAAGAUAGCUGCCCCUCUCGGUGGCCACUUUGCGGUAAUCCCACGACUCCAAGUCAUCUCCCUAACACCGUGGCCAAUGCCAGGUGCCAUUUGUCACCUGGUGCUUCAGAUGCUUCCUGCCACCCAGCCCGUGCGACGCAUUUGUAUCUCCUGCCUAGCUCCUCCAGGCACUGGGGUGUGUGACCCUGUCUUAAGGGUACUUCAAAACCAAUUGCUUUUGAACAGCAUUUGAUGAUGAAGACAGAUAUUCCACAUUCAGACCAGUUGUACUGAAUUCCCCUGGGAUGCCAGACUACGCUCCUGAGCAGAAUCGGGGCUAAUUCAUUUAAAGAAUGCCCAUUAAUCAAAAGGAGGUCCAAUCUAGCUCAAGUCUUUCUAAGAGGCUACACAAUUUGCCAUGUUGAAUGGAUGUGCAUAUUUUAUUUUGAGAGUAUUUUGAACAGCAAAAGGAAAUAUACUGCUUAUAGAGACUGCUGUCUUUCAGAAAACACAGAUGGUUACAGUAUUUUACCAAAAAAAAUAAAUU